rnacentral:rRNA from 1 species
UACGGAGGGUGCAAACGUUGCUCGGAAUCAUUGGGCGUAAAGCGCACGUAGGCGGCUCGUUAAGUCGGAUGUGAAAGCCCUGGGCUCAACCCAGGAACUGCGUCCAAGACUGGGAGGCUUGAAUCCGGGAGAGGGAUGCGGAAUUCCAGGUGUAGCGGUGAAAUGCGUAGAUAUCUGGAGGAACACCGGUGGCGAAGGCGGCAUCCUGGACCGGGAUUGACACUGAGGCGCGAAAGCCAGGGGAGCAAACGGG